GACUUAAGUCUGAUGUGAAAGCCACGGCUCAACCGUGGAAGGUCAUUGAAACUGGGUCACUUGAGUGCAGAAGAGGAAAGUGGAAUUCCAUGUGUAGCGGUGAAAUGCGUAGAUAUAUGGAGGAACACCAGUGGCGAAGGCGACUUUCUGGUCUGUAACUGACGCUGAGGCUCGAAAGCAUGGGGAGCAAACAGGAUUAGAUACCCUGGUAGUCCAUGCCGUAAACGAUGAGUGCUAAGUGUUGGAGGGUUUCCGCCCUUCAGUGCUGCAGCUAACGCAUUAAGCACUCCGCCUGAGGAGUACGACCGCAAGGUUGAAACUCAAAGGAAUUGACGGGGGCCCGCACAAGCGGUGGAGCAUGUGGUUUAAUUCGAAGCAACGCGAAGAACCUUACCAGGUCUUGACAUCCUUUGACCACUCUAGAGAUAGAGCUUUCCCUUCGGGGACAAAGUGACAGGUGGUGCAUGGUUGUCGUCAGCUCGUGUCGUGAGAUGUUGGGUUAAGUCCCGCAACGAGCGCAACCCUUAUUAUUAGUUGCCAGCAUUCAGUUGGGCACUCUAGUGAGACUGCCGGUGAUAAACCGGAGGAAGGUGGGGAUGACGUCAAAUCAUCAUGCCCCUUAUGACCUGGGCUACACACGUGCUACAAUGGAUGGUACAACGAGUCGCAAAACCGCGAGGUUAAGCUAAUCUCUUAAAGCCAUUCUCAGUUCGGAUUGUAGGCUGCAAUUCGCCUACAUGAAGCCGGAAUCGCUAGUAAUCGCGGAUCAGAACGCCGCGGUGAAUACGUUCCCGGGCCUUGUACACACCGCCCGUCACACCACGAGAGUUUGUAACACCCAAAGUCGGUGAGGUAACCUUCGGGAGCCAGCCACCUAAGGUGGGACAGAUAAUUGGGGUG
rnacentral:rRNA from 1 species